rnacentral:rRNA from 1 species
AGAGUUUGAUCCUGGCUCAGAGCGAACGCUGGCGGCGUGCUUAACACAUGCAAGUCGAGUGCGCGUCUGUAGCAAUACAGAUGGCGCACGGCGCACGGGUGCGUAACACGUGGGUAAUCUGCCCUUCGAUGGGGAAUAACUUCGGGAAACCGAAGCUAAUUCCGCAUGACAUUCCUUGAACCUCGGUUUGGGGACUCAAAGCCGUAAGGCGUCGGAGGAGGAACCCGCGCACGAUUAGCUAGUUGGUAGGGUAACGGCCUACCAAGGCUUUGAUCGUUAGCUGGUCUGAGAGGAUGGCCAGCCACACUGGAACUGAGACACGGUCCAGACUCCUACGGGAGGCAGCAGUGGGGAAUCUUGCACAAUGGGCGAAAGCCUGAUGCAGCGACGCCGCGUGGGGGAUGAAGCUUUUCGGAGUGUAAACCCCUUUCGACCCGGACGAAUGCCCCGCAAGGGGACUGACGGUGCGGGUAUAAGAAGCCCCGGCUAACUACGUGCCAGCAGCCGCGGUA